GGCCUUCCGUCUUCCCUCACUUUACUAGGUUUGCUGAGUGUCUACUGUGUGCAGGCUCUGAACUAGGAACUGGGAAAUACCCUAGAAAGUAAGGUACAGCCCACAUUUCAAGAGGCUGCCAGCCUCGGAAGGGCUGAGUCACUCAAGGCCAUUAGUACCCAUAAGCUCUGUCCUGAGGCAAGCACUGAGGGCCAUUGGAGAAGUCCUAACCCUUGGAGACUGGAGAGUCAGGGAAGUCUUCCUGGAGGCGGAGACAUUUAAGCUGCAGCUGGAAGAGAGGCCCGAGAAGGGAGGGGAGGAAGAGGUAAGGUAGCAGGCUGAGAAGGUGCAACAGAUUCCCUGGGAUGGUAGAGCUACCCCAGGGCGAAGGAAGCUACUCUGUGCGGGAGCGAUAAUGUCAAGAGGAAGCAAGCAGACAUGAACUUCCCCAGAGAGAAAAGGGUCUCCCCUUUUCCCACGGCCUCUGCUGGCUGCUCCCAGGUGUUUGCUCUUAAGCACACAACCACUGAAUAUUUCUGAGCACCGUUACCACCUCACUGGGGCCACGUGUAACUCCAAGUGCCCCCUCGCGGCCACGCCCUGCAGACUUCACUCUACACCCACGUCUCCCCAUCUGUUUCAAGGCGUGUCAAUGUUCCUGUGUGUUUCACUUCUUUUUCCCCCACGGUCUAGAUCUCCAUUUCACCUGCCUCUUUCCCCCCAGAACUGCGCACAUUGAUCGCUACUGUCCUCAGCCUUCAAAGCUCUCUUUUUCCCUUUCUUUGGUCUCUCCAGAAGACCAGUCCUACGUAUGGUCUGCUGCUUUGCUAUUUUUCCCAAUCCAUUUGCCCACCGGACAAGAGGUUACUGACGGCCUCUGAGAGCCAGCUCCGAUUCUCGAGACAGCUUUCACGGGAAGAGGGACAUGUGAGGAAGUUAUUACAAUAUUAUAUGACAAAUUGGGUAAUGGAGGUAAGUUCAAAGUCAGCUAUGUUAUCUCUAUUCUUCAGUGAUUCAUUCAAUAAAUGUUUACUAAGCACAUGCUGUACUGCACAUCAGGCCCUGUUUGAGAUGUUGGAGCUUCAGGAGAGAAGAAAACAGAUAAAGUUUCUGCCUUCAUGAAACUUGUAUUCUAAGGAGGGAAGACAAGUGAGAAGCAAGUGAACGUGUAAGUACAUACAAUAAUUUCAGGGGUACCUGCCGGUUCAGUCAGAAGAACGUGGGAUUCUGGAUCUCAGAGUUGUGAGUUUGAGCCUAACAUUGUGUGUAGAGAUUAUUUAAAAAUAAAAUCUUUAAAGAAAAUAAUAAUUUCAACUAGUGAUGGGUGCUAAGGAAAAGAAAUAAGGUGAUAUGAUAGACCUUGAUCUCAGAUAGACUUAGCCAGUCCUAGUAUUGCAGCUGCUUGGGAUUGACGGUUUCAAGAAUAGGCCCAAGACUCAGCACAGAGGGGCAUCUAGGAGGCCUUUGAAUAAGGAAUGUCUCUCUGGAGAAGUGAUGCCUAACAGGCCUUGGAAGAUCAGUGGGAAGGGCAUUCCAAGCAGAGGGAAUAGCAGAUGUAAAGUUCAAAGUAGGGGAAGCAAGUUUAGUGCGGUCAAAGACCAGACAGAAAGCCAGCGACUGGAGCACAGUGAGUGAAGGCCUGGAGGAGAUGGUGGCUCAGCUGGUCCUAUGUUCCUUUCAACUGCUCCGAUGCAGCUCCCUGUGUCCCAGAGCGGAAACCCAACGUCCAGACUCCUUUGCAGCUCCCGUCCUAGAGACUGGACACGAGUGUGAACUUGAGAAGGUAGAAGUGUGAUGGACGCUGUGGGGCUGGGCAAAAUGGGUGAAGGGGAGGGGGCAACACGGGCUUCCGGUUAUGGAAGGCAUAAGUCAUGGGAAUAAAAAGGCCAAAGAAUAGAAUCAACGAUACUGUAAUAGUGAUCUCUGGUGGAAGAUGGACCUACGCCGUGAUGAGCACAGCAUACUGUAUAAACUUGUCGAAUCACUAUGUUGUACUUGAAACUAAACAUGGUGCAUCAACGGUACUCAAAUUUAAUAAAUAAAUGAAUACAAGAACUGAGGCAGAGGCUGUGAUCCUGCCGCCUUUGGGUUUGCCACUGGAGAACAAGGUUAUGGAAUAACCUGUGGAAAUCCUGUCUCUCUGCAGCCACCUUCCAGGAUUCGGUCACUAGCCUGGUUUUCUGCUGUGACUUCCUGAUCCCUGGGUCGCAGUUGUGGUAUUUACUGCAAAUCAACAGUUCCAAGGGUGGCCCCCCCCCCCCCGUCUCCCACUUUCUCAAGGGGGCAGCAGCAACCCAUCGCCCAGUGGGGCACCUCAGCAGUGCUAUUCCAGGAGUCCUGCCAGAGGCCCAGCACGAAACCUCUUGUGCCCUUCCAAAGAUUGUGAAGGAACCAAUUCCUUAUAUUCAAUCCCUUCCUGCCUCAAAUACCCGUGGGGGUCUCCAGUUUCCUGCAGCUGAUCCUGAGUGAUCUGGGGGUUGGGGAGGCCCCUCGGGAGAUCCCUCUGUUACAGGGACAAGCACCCGUCUACCUCUGCCCACUGUUUCCCAGCACAGAGCCAACUCCCUGCUUGUGACAAAACAUUUCCCUUCACUACCUCAGGGUAGUUCAAACCUGGGCAAAGAAUUGUUAAUGAACAGGUCCACAAGUUUCCCUUUGUCUGUCAUGCUUGUUGCGUUGCUAAAAGACGUGAGUAGAUGUGGCAGGGUUGGUUUCCACUAGCCAUCUUUCCCUGAGUAGGUUACACUCGACAAGAUGGCCACCGACCUGCACUUCAUCACAAUUCCCACAGGCUAACCAGAUACGGAAACAAUACUGAUCUGAACUUCCAGGUGACUUGCCAAUUAAAGUCAACACUUAAAGGGUGCUUCUGUAAGCAAGCCUGUGCAAAAAGCACCAAGAGAGAUAGAGAGCUUCCCUCCAGGGGCUGAAAGUCUAGUGGAGAGAAAUGUACAGACAGACAAAUAACCAAGGCUGCUGAGUGUCUCCUAGGCACUGCUCCAAAUGAAUGAACCCGUUUAACUGUCACAGCAAGGCUAUGAAAUACAUCCUAUUGUUUUCCCCAUCUAACAGAUGAGAAAACCAAGGCCCAAGAAGGUUAAGUCACUCUUCGAGAUUAACACAUAGAGUACACUGCUGGGAUUAGAACCCAGGCAGCCUGGCUCCAGGGUCUCUGCAGCUGAUCAUGUCCAGGCAGCGUGUGAGGCUCCAUGAAGGCAUUACAAGAGCAAAGCAAAGACACAAGUAGUUUAGCCCAAGGGCAUCAGGUCAGGCUUCCCUUCCUCCGAAAGAGAUCUUCCAUCUUCUGGUCAGUUUGGCGAACGUGCUUUGGACCUGGCCUUUUCCUUGAGAUGGUGCUGGUUCUAGAAAAGUGAGUGAGACCUUGAGGGGCUCGCAGCCAGGAGGGGAAGCUGACAGCUGAGAACAUUAAUGGGUGAACGCACAAUGGUGUGGGAUAAGAAGGGGCUUCUAAGCAGGGGGUAGCAGACAUAACACCAAGGGAGGUACCAACCCUGCAGGGGACUCACAGGUUAAAAAUGCUUCUUAGAGGAGGAGACAUACGAAUUGGACUUUGAACAAUGAAGAUGGUUUGCCAGGCUGAUAGUCUGGGCGGGGUUGGCAUAGGCGAAGAUUGAGGGAAGGGCAGAAGGC
rnacentral:lncRNA from 1 species